GUGAAGAACGUAGCGAAAUGCGAUAAGUAAUGUGAAUUGCAGAAUUCAGUGAAUCAUCGAAUCUUUGAACGCACCUUGCGCCCUUUGGCCAUUCCGAAGGGCAUGCCUGUUUGAGUAUCAUGAACACCUCAACUCUUCAUGGUUUUCCAUGAUGAGCUUGGACUUUGGGGGUCUUGCUGGCCUGUGGGUCGGCUCCUCUCAAAUGAAUCAGCUUGCCGGUUUUUGGUGGGCAUCACAGGUGUGAUAACUAUCUACGCUUGUGGUUUUCCACCAGGGUAACCUUCAGCAGUGGAGGUUCACUGGAGCUUACAAAUGUCUCUCCUCUGUGAGGACAGCCCUUUGAAUGUUUGAUCUCAAAUCAGGUAGGACUACCCGCUGAACUUAAGCAUAUCAAUAAGCGGAGGA
rnacentral:misc_RNA from 1 species